rnacentral:lncRNA from 1 species
CCAACUCAGAAGCUAGGAUAUGCAUAUUAUUAACACAUUCGGAUAGAAAACACUCUGAAUUUUCUAAAACAGUUUGAAUGGUGUCUGUAAGUAUAACAAAACUCAUAUUGCAGGCAAAAACCUGUGAAAAAUAGAUCAAAAAAAAAUGUGAAUUUUGUGACUGUACUAUUUAGUGUCAUUGUUUUAUAGAUACCAUAGUGAGAAAGGAUUCAUUUCGCAACACCUACGGCUUCCACUAGAUGUCAACGAUCUUUAUAAAGUUGUUUGAAGCGUCUAUGAUAAACAGAGAGCAAAUUAGAAUCCAAGGAAGUUGACAUGUCAUCACUUCAUUUUUUUGCGCCUGCGCAUAAAUCUGAGAAACGUGAGUUUGUCAUCAUUUUUUAUCUAGACAUAGGAUAGGUUGUGUGAAAAUAUUACUGAUGUUUAACGUUAAAAAUGGAGCAAAAGAUUAAUGCUAAACAACAUUUGACAUGUUUGAACGAACAUAAAUAGAUUAUUUACUAGGUUUUUUUUUAGCUUUUCGGCGUGAUUUUACCAGCCCCCAACCACGUUUUGUGGGAGCAUAAUGAACGCUAAGUACUUGGUGUUAUUUGGACAUAAAUUAUGAACUUUGUCAAAAGAAACCACAUUUGUUCCGGACCUGGGAUGCCUUCCGGACCUGGGAUGCCUGUCUUCUGAUGGAGAUAAUCAAAGAUGUCAAUUCCAGGAAUCCCAGGUCCAUAACGAAUGUAGUUUUGUUCAAAAAAGCUCAUCAUUUAUGUCCAAAAAUCUCCGUCUUGUUAGCACAUGAUGUAAGCCAGCCGGACUUCUCGUCAUGAACGAGGGGAAAAAAUAUAUUUACGUUCGUUCAAACAUGUCAAACGUUGUAUAGCAUAAAUCAUUAGUGCCUUUUUUAACCAGAACAUGAAUAAUAUUCAAGGUGGACGAAUGCAUUCUCUUUUAUAACGUAUUGGAACGAGGGUACCCAACAUGAACUCGCGCGCCAGAGUCUAAUCGGCCAUCACCGUUCCAUGGCUCUUGUUCGGUCAGAUCUCACAGUAAAAGACUCAAAACACUUUGUAAAGGCUGGUGACAUCUAGUGGAAACAAUAGGAAGUGCCAAAACAGUAAUCAACCCCUCUGUGUUUCAAUGGCAUAGGCUUAAAGGUAAUUCAACACAUCAGGUAUCCACUUCCUGUCAGAAAAUGUCUCAGGGUUUUGCCUGCCAAAUGAGUUCUGUUAUACACAGACACCAUUCAAACAGUUUUAGAAACUUUAGGGUGUUUUCUAUCCAUAUAUAAUAAGUAUAUGCAUAUUCUAGUUACUGGGUAGGAUUAGUAACCAGAUUAAAUCGGGUACGUUUUUUUAUCCAGCCGUGAAAAUACUGCCCCCUAGCCCCAACAGGUUAAACAUGUCUGUAAAAUCACAAUGUGAACAUCGACCUAUCAAGUAAUUUUUCAUAAAUCAUUGGGUACAAUGCAAGAACAAAUGUGAGAGUAAUCUGAAGUGGUUGCAUUAAUUCAUGUUCACAUUUACAACAUAACAUGCAUGAGCAUUUCAUCACUAAGACUUUUUGGGAAUAAUGUCUGAAGGGUGAAAAUCCCAAAACAUUCUCUUUUGUGCAGAGUAUUAUUUAUACCACCUCCCCUGUAUUAUAUCUUGACUUUCUCUAUGCCACAACAUCUAAAAAGUAGAAAUGUCAUGUUUUUGGUCAUUUAAAAUGUACUGACUGGAUAAUCCCUGUCGUUUCUCCUGAUUUAACUUUUAUGUUCACUAAUUCUCUGUUUGAGAGAACGAGAGGUUUUACCUACAUAACACAGCCCACAUGGACAUUUAAUCAUGUAGGUAACAUGGGUGGUGGAGCACGUAAUAAUGUAAUUUAUAUGGAACUGUUUUCCUGUAUGUGGGUGGCAGAAAUAUUCACACUUCAUCAUAUUGUUGCACUGUGCGCAACCUCUGCAUUUAUAGCUACCAUUCGGAAGAGCGUGUAAAAGAGCCAGGAUCAUUUGCUUUAGUGGCUGGCAGUUGGCAUGGACCAAUUUGUCACGUAAAUUGCGACCUUUCCUAUAUACAAUAAGUGGUGGGUUCUUAAAUUCAGCUGGCAAAGCUGGGUCCAAUGAUAAAACACGCCAAUGGGUUUUGCUCAUGAUAGCUUGAACUGACAAUGACUUGGUGAUAAAAACCUAAAAGAUAGCAUUCCAUAGACAAGAUGUGGUGUGUGUGACCCGAGAUAGAGUCAGGAAGAGUUUUUAGAACAAUGCCUCAUUGUCUCAUCUUCCUGGCAUUGGGAAACUAAGCCGAGUUGGAAGUAAAACAACGUCCCGUGCAGAUAACCUGGAGAUGGACCAAGGUGGUUUGUGGGAAGGGUAUAAAUGACUGACUAAGCAUUUUUUAGGGCCUAUAUAGAGUGUGGGGUCGACACUUUCAUUGUUGCAAUAAUGAAUCAAUGUUAAAUAAAAAUUAUUGUUUGAAUAAUUGUCCAAGUCUCUCUCAGUACUGGAACUUCCACAACAGUUUUGGCGACGAGUGUCCGUGUAUAUGUGAUGAGAAAAGGAGUCAAUCGCAGGACACCGAACUGAGUAAAAAUUAAGUAAUUUACUCAACAUAAAAAUUCAGUAUACAAAAUCCAUGCAGGGAAAACAAGAACUACAAAACCAACGAACAAUACCAACAGUAAAACAAUAACGCACAAAACAUCAUGAUGACCAGAGGGUUAAAAUAGGGCAGUAAUCAUAACCAAAUGGGAACCAGGUGUGAACAAUCAAGACAUAACCAAUCGACAAAGAAACAUGGAUCGGUGGCAGCUAGAAAGCCGGUGACGAUGACCGCCGAACGCUGCCCGAACAAGGAGAGGCACCAACAUCGGCGGAAGUCGUGACAACGAGGAGGAUCUCUGCAACUUCACCUGUUGACCGCUCCUGAAGAUCUGGGUAAACUGUGCACAGGGGAUCCAAAAUUGGGAGCUCGGGGAAACCACACUCCAAAGGAGAAGCUGGACCCUCCUCAGAUCUGCAGGAAGCGGGCACGGAUGGAUAUCAGAUCUCGAACAUAGUGCUGAGAGAGGUGAGCUUGGACAAUCUAUCAAUAAGUGAUACAAAAAAAUAUAUAAAUAACAAAAGCCCCUGUCAAGGGUAUGCUCAGAGCAAGGUCUUCCUUAAGAGGGCCACAACUGAGGUAACUAGCAGGACUGAGUUGAGUUGAUAAGAGUGUUCUUAAGUGAGGUUUCCUUGGGCAUGAUUGAGAAUUAGCCUGUUGCGGGCAACCAAAAGUCCAGAUCCGUGGUACUGGGUUGAUCACAGUAGGACUGGUGAUGUUAAUGUGUAGAGCGAGAGACUAGAGCGCAGGUGACGCCUUACAAGGGCACCUGGCAUGGUGAAUUUCAAAUGAUAUGUAUGUAGUUGAUUAAAUGUUUUGUUGAUGAAGUAAACAAGUAUGCCCUGGGUCAGUAUUGUUAGUUGUUAUUGUUAUUCCUGGUUAGAUAAUAACCCGUUUUGGGACCACAAGUUAGGCAAUAUUUUGAUAAUGGUAUGGUUUUCCCUGCUCAUAUAGAGAGGGUUUACAAUCUAAAAACAGCGCUAACGAUUUAAUAAAAAAAUGUUUUUGACUGUCUCAUUCCCUAUGUUUGUGUUUUCUGUGAGUGUGUGAGUGAAGGAGCCGGAACCAUGGGAGCACACGGUAGCGAAGGACACGGAAUUCCAGAUCCCCCAAAGGAUGCCCUGAAGGUUAAGGUAGAUAAAUGGGGAAAUAAUAUUCUGGACCAGGUGCAAUUGUGGCAUAGGGAAGGAGGCUUUCUUUUGACAGGGACAGUGAGUGUGAGGAUGUUAGAUGAAGUCAGGGAAAGACUGACAGAGUACGAAGGGACCAAAAAAGGUAAAAAGGAUAAGAUAGAUUGGAUUAAGUUCAGAAAAUGGGAAAGAGGCAGAAAGGCGUACAGAGACAGGACCCAUUUCGAGGAAAGCCCCAACAGAAUAUGGUAGUACAGACUGAGGAAGAAGGGAAAACAGACAAAGAUGAGACCGUGAGAAAGAAGAGGAAGACGAUGAGUGAUUACCCCCCUCCCUAUUUUUCUCCUUCUAAUUUCUACCCAGUGCUGCCUGUGGCUGUCGACCUUCUUUCCCCCGCCUCUGCCUGAUGCCCUAGCUCUGCACUCCACUACGCCUCUUCACCCAACUCUGUUCCUCCCCUCUCGUAUGAAUCUCCCCUAGCAGCAGCGGUGGACCAACUGCUCUCUGAACUGGCCAUGCAUCAACUCCAAAACCAACCAGAAAAGGGUGCUGCUGGAGGAGCCAGAGCAGAAUGUAGGAAGAGCAACAACCUCUUCUCACAAUAACCACCUCUAGCCAGCCCGUUGGAGGAUGAUGACGACAACAGUGAUACAUCCUCUCAGAACGGAGCAUCAGCUCCCUACUCUCUUCCCCUCCGCUUAAGAGCCAUCUGCAAAGGAAGAUAGACCCGCCGACACCCUCACCAUAUGAUCUAGCACCAGAUAUGUAUCAACAGUACCCUCUGAUUGCAUGUCCAAACCCUCAGCCAUGACCAGCUGCAGGCCACACUGAUUUGGCUGCCUGGCAACCAAUCAUAUACCCAGAGGUCAUGGAGACAUGAUGAAAUUAAAGACAUUGUUGAGGAUUUGCCUGACCCCAGCAAAGAUGCGGUAAAGUUUGCAGCAGAAAUGAGGGUUCUGUCAGGACAGCACCAGCCAUCUGCAGCUGAGAUAGCCCAUAUCUGUAAGAAGAAACUAGGGCUUAGGUGGGCUGAUGUAGAAGGGGACUUUGAUUAUAAUCAGCUCUGGGAUGGGAAUGGAACUGUAUCCCGUCAAGACUGACUGGACAUCCAUCAGAGAAUGCACCAUCAAGAAAGAUGAGAGCCUGGAAGCGUAUUGAAGGAGACUGGAAACCUGUUUCAGGCUGCAAAGCGGCAUCAGACCAAAUUACCUGGCAUAUGGAAAUCUGUUGUAGGACGCCCUGAUGAGGGGCCUGACACCAGACUUGGAGAAAGCGGUGAGAACCACCUGUAUCAGUUGGGAAACUGAACCCCUGUCCACUGUGGUACAACAUUGCAAACAUGCUGAGCGACAACAAUGUGCUCAGAAGGAAGAAAAUACAAAAGAAGAAAGAGUGAAGACUGAAAUUGCAUUCUACCAAGACCAGGUGCCUGCUGGAGUGGGAGGUGGUGGAGGUGGAAGAAAACCCAAACUUGGAAGUUGCUUCACCUAUGGCAAGCCAGGCCAUUUCGGUGCACAAUGCAAUCAAGCCCAGCAGCUGAUGGGAAGAGGCAGGGGCAGACCAAGAGGCAGAGGAGCCCCAAGGGGGGCCCCUCGAGGAGGAGGUCCACCAGGAGGACAAGGAUUGUGGUAUCCCCCUGCUCAACAGCCAUGGCAGCCGCCACCCAACCAAUGGCCAGGGCCACCCCCACAUGGGGGCCCUCCGCCACCGUGGGGACCACAAGGGAGCCCUCAAGGCAGAGGCCAAUCUGGGCAAGGGCAGAUGGGCCCGCCUGCACAGACGACCCUGUACAAUCCAGGACAAGAAAAGGAGGAAGAAUAUUGACAUGGAGAGACAGACACAGAUGAGGUAGAAUCGUCAGGGCAACCAGUGCAUUUGUUUUUAAAGAGCCAUACCCUUCCUCGAAUUGAGCCAACAGUAGAGGCUUGCGUCAAUGGGUGAAAGCAGCUUUGCCUCAGCCCCUGGUGGGAAUCCUACAUAAGCUUCAACCUGGUGACUGGGUUGUGGUCAAGGACCUGAGGAGGAAGCAUUGGACCCAGCAGAAGUGGAAUGGCCCAUUCCAGGUGUUGCUGAUAAACCCCACCACUGUUCGAGUGGCUGAGAGAUCGACAUGAGUACACUCCAGCCACUGCAGGAAGGUCCCAUAUGAUCCAGUUUCAGAUGUCCCGGAGGAUGGGUUUCCGCCAGCCAUGACCUAGUUGGCCGUGGGAGAAUCAGGAUGAAGUCAGAGGAAUCCUGGUUGUUGCAUUCUUUGCCAGCCUCUUCAUCUCAAUGACUGUUUGAACCCUGCAGAGAGGGGAAUAGGCGAAAGGGGAGGAUGGCCCAAAUAUCACUGCAGUCCCAAAGCUGGGACUUAAUAACAGCCACUCCAGCUCAAGCCAAUGGCAGGCUCAGGACAUGAGUCCAGUAAACAAUAGCCACACUGAGACCAGAAGAAGCAGGAGCUCGAUGCAUCCACUGGAUGAGCAUCACAGCCAGAAUCAUGAGGAAAACACUUGGUGGUCACUGCUUAAUUAUACAGUAAAAACUGAACUAAUGGUAGAAAACACCUCCUGUCAUGUAUGUAGUCUUUUUCCACGCUCAGCGAUCUCAACAUUCUUACAGUAUUCAGUAGAGGCCAGCAUUAACGACACUCUAUGUGCACUGGAAGUCAUCUUAUCAAAUUAAACUUCAUGGGGUUAACCUUCACAGGGUAGAACUAUGAAGGAAAAAUGCAUUAAUGAUGAUUUGUCAUUGUCAAAAGAUAUGAGGCAGAUUUGAUUGUAAACGUUGGUGUACUAAAAUGAUUUUAGAACCUAGACACCGUGUACUGAAACCUAUACUAAUCCAACCCCGCCAUUGUCACAACCCAAGUAUUAUCUCCAUACCACGAUCUUAUGAAUCCUAUUUGGGAAUGUCAACAUGUGUUAAUUAUAGUCUUCCCAUUAGGAUGUAGCUGGAUAAAUGGAACAUGCAAUUCUAACUGGCCUGUUAAACUUAAUGUGGGGCACACCACCAUUCAAGUAGAAACAGACGAGCGCUGUCCACAUCAAUAUGGCUCAGCCACGUUUAAUGAUCAUUAUUGGAUCUGUGGUAAUAAGGCAUAUCUUUAUUUACCAACAAAUUGGACAGGGUGCUGUGUUUUUGGUAAACUAAACAUCUCCAUUGUUGUAAUGCAUAAAACAAACUCCUCCAUUCCACGCAGAUUAAGACGGAUUAGGAGGAGCAUUUCACAAUUGAAUGACGUUCCAAUUGAGUCACGACGAUCCUCAGAACUUGAAGUUUUGGCAUGGGUUAAUUUCUUGAUAUGGGGCAUCGGAAAAUGCCCAUGACUUAGAACGAUUGGGAUAUCAUUUAGAAACUUUUGUAAAUUUAAACCACUUCAGGAUUUUCGAUAAUGAGACCAGAAUUACAAGCAGCUCGCCUCACGGCUAUACAGAAUAGAUUAGCACUUGAUAUGUUACUAGCACAGGAAGGGGGAGUGUGCCAAAUGAUAGGUGAAUAUUGCUGUACAUUCAUACCCCAGGAUGAGGGUAACUUCACUAUUGUUGUGGAACAUCUGGAAGAGCUCACCGGCGAUCUCACAAAAGAACACCAACCAGACAACAAUUGGAAUCCGUUUGGAUGGGUUCAAUCAUUAUUUGGUGUUAUGGAAACAACAGUUUUCCAUUGGCUCAUUUAUGGCCAAUUAAUAUUUUUUGCUGUGCUAUUUCUUAUUGUCUAUGUUAAAAAUCUUUGUUGUAAAGUGCUGGAUACUGCCCUCACUAUGCCAUUGCUUGAUGUUCAUGCUGACUCUGAGGAUGAUGAGAAUAAUGAUGAUGUAUCUAUAAAUGAUCGAAUGCCUGAUAUUCCAGACCUAUUUCCCAUUCCUGAUUACAUACAGUGGGGAGAACAAGUAUUUGAUACACUGCCAAUUUUGCAGGUUUUCCUACUUACAAAGCAUGUAGAGGUCUGUAAUUUUUAUCAUAGGUACACUUCAACAGUGAGAGACAGAAUCUAAAACAAAAAUCCAGAAAAUCACAUUGUAUGAUUUUUAAGUAAUUAAUUUGCAUUUUAUUGCAUGACAUAAGUAUUUGAUACAUCAGAAAAGCAGAACUUAAUAUUUGGUACAGAAACCUUUGUUUGCAAUUACAGAGAUCAUACGUUUCCUGUAGUUCUUGACCAGGUUUGCACACACUGCAGCAGGGAUUUUGGCCCACUCCUCCAUACAGACCUUCUCCAAAUCCUUCAGGUUUUGGGGCUGUCGCUGGGCAAUACGGACUUUCAGCUCCCUCCAAAGAUUUUCCAUUGGGUUCAGGUCUGGAGACUGGCUAGGCCACUCCAGGACCUUGAGAUGCUUCUUACGGAGCCACUCCUGGCUGUGUGUUUCGGGUCGUUGUCAUGCUGGAAGACCCAGCCACGACCCAUCUUCAAUGCUCUUACUGAGGGAAGGAGGUUGUUGGCCAAGAUCUCGCGAUACAUGGCCCCAUCCAUCCUCCCCUCAAUACGGUGCAGUCGUCCUGUCCCCUUUGCAGAAAAGCAUCCCCAAAGAAUGAUGUUUCCACCUCCAUGCUUCACGGAUGGGAUGGUGUUCUUGGGGUUGUACUCAUCCUUCUUCUUCCUCCAAACACGGCGAGUGGAGUUUAGACCAAAAACCUAUUUUUUUGUCUCAUCAGACCACAUGACUUUCUCCCAUUCCUCCUUUGGAUCAUCCAGAUGGUCAUUGGCAAACUUCAGACGGGCCUGGACAUGCGCUGGCUUGAGCAGGGGGACCUUGCGUGCGCUGCAGGAUUUUAAUCCGUGAUGGCGUAGUGUGUUACUAAUGGUUUUCUUUGAGACUGUGGUCCCAGCUCUCUUCAGGUCAUUGAACAGGUCCUGCCGUGUAGUUCUGGGCUGAUCCCUCACCUUCCUCAUGAUCAUUGAUGCCCCCCGAGGUGAGAUCUUGCAUGGAGCCCCAGACUGAGGGUGAUUGACCAUCAUUUUGAACUUCUUCCAUUUUCUAAUAAUUGCGCCAACAGUUGUUGCCUUCUCACCAAGCUGCUUGCCUAUUGUCCUGUAGCCCAUCCCAGCCUUGUGCAGGUCUACAAUUUGAUCCCUGAUGUCCUUACACAGCUCUCUGGUCUUGGCCAUUGUGGAGAGGUUGGAGUCUGUUUGAUUGAGUGUGUGGACAGGUGUCUUUUAUACAGGUAACGAGUUCAAACAGGUGCAGUUAAUACAGGUAAUGAGUGGAGAACAGGAGGGCUUCUUAAAGAAAAACGAACAGGUCUGUGAGAGCCGGAAUUCUUACUGGUUGGUAGGUGAUCAAAUACUUAUGUCAUGCAAUAAAAUGCAAAUUAAUUACUUAAAAAUCAUACAAUGUGAUUUUCUGGAUUUUUGUUUUAGAUUCCGUCUCUCACAGUUGAAGUGUACCUAUGAUAAAAAAAUUACAGACCUCUACAUGCUUUGUAAGUAGGAAAACCUGCAAAAUCGGCAGUGUAUCAAAUACUUGUUCUCCCCACUGUAUCUGAUGAUGAGGACCCUAACCCUGAUCUUAGAGCUAAGGGUAUUGAACUAAUGGUCCACUCAGUUUGUAGGACAUAUCCCAAGAAAGGUAGAUGUUCUUGGUGUUAAAAAUCAAUGAAUGGUAAGGAUGGACAUUUUCAUAAUUCUGACCCCUAUCUUUGUGCGUAGUGCCAGCGUGAUGAUUAUCCUAUUGCUGUAAUGAAACUUUUGUGUGAUUGAAUUUUUGUUUCGUUUUCUGUUCCCGAUUGACUGUUUUUGGAUAAGAAAGGUCUGAAACUCAGCAACCCAAAGGAAGGGUUUUUACAAUGGAUGAAAUGUCAGGCACCAGAAAUAUGUACUUUGUUUAAAAUGUAUAUGUUUACCAAUAAUCAUGUAAUGCUUGUACCCUUACAUUUUUCUGUAAGAAACUUAGUUUCUUGAGAAGGAAAUGUGACAGAAAAAUUGUAUUUACCUAAUUUGUUGGAUAUUUAACAAGUAUUUACUUACCAAACAGUAAAAUAUUUCUGUCCUGCUAAUUCUGUGUUAAAGUGAUGGUUUCCACUUUAACUUCCUAUAGUUACUCUGGGUGUCUGGUUCAGGAAAUGGGUUUUGCUAGAGAUAGCUUGAGCUGACAAUGACUUGGUGAUAAAAACCUAAAAGCUGGCAUUUCAUAGACAAGAUGUGGUGUGUGACCCGAGAUAGAGAGAGCCUGGAAGAGCUUAGAACAAUGCCUCAUCUUCCUGGCAUCUUGGAAACUUAGCCGGAUUGAAAGUAAAACAAGAUCCCGUGCAGAUGAACCAAGUUGGCUUAUGGGAAGGGUAUAAAUGAAUGACUAAGCAUUUUUUAGGGCCUAUGUAAGAUCUCUGCUUUUUCAUUAUCAGUUAACCUGUUUAGGAUAGGGGGCAGUAUUUUCAUGGCCGGAUAAAAAAACGUACCCGAUUUAAUCUGGUUAUUACUCCUGCCCAGAAACUAGAAUAUGCAUAUAAUUAUUUUUAUUUGGAU